rnacentral:lncRNA from 1 species
GUUCCUGUUGUGGUACUCUCUAUUCUAUAUGAAUGCUGUUUUCAUAUCAAGGUACACACCAGGAAUUUCUAAAACGCGGAAAGAUCCACUUCACCAUCGUCGUCAUCAUCAAAAACUGUUAGAACUUAGUUCAUUUGCUUUUACGUCACUCUAUUAUAACAUUUAAAAUUUUCAACCUCAACCAACACUUAACCUCUCAUAAUAACCUCUGAUUUAAGGUACACCUUACAAUAAUUUAACUAGAAAAGGUCGAGAAAAAAAUGUUACGUUCUUAUUCAUAAUUUACAUAUCAACCAGAUAUUCGGACUACCACUGAAAAAAUACUGAUAGGAGCAGGUAUUUUUUACUUACAAA